AGCGAACGCUGGCGGCAGGCCUAACACAUGCAAGUCGAACGGAUCCUUCGGGAUUAGUGGCGGACGGGUGAGUAACACGUGGGAACGUGCCCUUUGGUUCGGAACAACCCAGGGAAACUUGAGCUAAUACCGGAUGUGCCCUUCGGGGGAAAGAUUUAUCGCCAUUGGAGCGGCCCGCGUCUGAUUAGCUAGUUGGUGAGGUAACGGCCCACCAAGGCGACGAUCAGUAGCUGGUCUGAGAGGAUGAUCAGCCAAACUGGGCCGGAGACCCGGCCAGACUCCUACGGGAGGCAGCAGUGGGGAAUCUUGCGCAAUGGGCGAAAGCCUGACGCAGCCAUGCCGCGUGAAUGAUGAAGGUCUUAGGAUUGUAAAAUUCUUUCAGCGGGGACGAUAAUGACGGUACCCGCAGAAGAAGCUCCGGCUAACUUCGUG
rnacentral:rRNA from 1 species